CAAAGACAGAAGAGAAGUGAACUUCGUCGUAUCACAAGUGUAAAAAAAAGUCGCUAACGUUUUACCAUGAAGAUGUUCCUCCUUUAUUCGCUGUUCGCCUGUUUAUUGCUAGAGGCCAACUCUGCCUCAAUCAAGAAGAAAGUGAAGAUUGCAAGCAUUCUACGCGAACCAGCAGAUUGCACGGAUGAAAAUCCCGUAUAUUGCGCACGGUGGAAUCCUUCGUACUGCACAAAUGUUAAGUUAUUUGCCACGCCCAGCAACUUUAAUGCCUUCCUGAAAAUGUGCCCCGCCUUUUGUGGAAGCUGUUAGGUGAAAAGCAGGACACAAAUGACGUGAUCAUGAGUGGAGAGUUGAAAUGAUCAAAAAAGAGUGAUAUGUAUGCUUCAGUAUUGUUGCUAGAGAGCUGUAAUAAAAAGAGAUGAUCAUCA